UACGAAGGGGGCUAGCGUUGUUCGGAUUUACUGGGCGUAAAGCGCACGUAGGCGGCUUGCCAAGUCGGACGUGAAAUCCCUCAGCUCAACUGAGGACGUGCAUCCGAAACUGGCGAGCUUGAGUACUGAAGAGGAUCGCGGAAUUCCCGGUGUAGAGGUGAAAUUCGUAGAUAUCGGGAGGAACACCGGUGGCGAAGGCGGCGAUCUGGGUCGAUACUGACGCUGAGGUGCGAAAGCGUGGGGAGCAAACAGG
rnacentral:rRNA from 1 species